rnacentral:rRNA from 1 species
GGGGAAUAUUGGGCAAUGGGCGCAAGCCUGACCCAGCAACGCCGCGUGAAGGAAGAAGGCUUUCGGGUUGUAAACUUCUUUUAUGAGGGACGAAACAAAUGACGGUACCUCAUGAAUAAGCCACGGCUAACUACGUGCCAGCAGCCGCGGUAAUACGUAGGUGGCAAGCGUUAUCCGGAUUUACUGGGUGUAAAGGGCGUGUAGGCGGGACUGCAAGUCAGAUGUGAAAUUCCAGGGCUCAACCCUGGACCUGCAUUUGAAACUGUGGUUCUUGAGUGAUGGAGAGGCAGGCGGAAUUCCCUGUGUAGCGGUGAAAUGCGUAGAUAUAGGGAGGAACACCAGUGGCGAAGGCGGCCUGCUGGACAUUAACUGACGCUGAGGCGCGAAAGCGUGGGGAGCAAAC